rnacentral:rRNA from 1 species
UACGUAGGGUGCAAGCGUUGUCCGGAAUUAUUGGGCGUAAAGCGUGCGCAGGCGGCUAUGCAAGACAGAUGUGAAAUCCCCGGGCUCAACCUGGGAACUGCAUUUGUGACUGCAUGGCUAGAGUACGGUAGAGGGGGAUGGAAUUCCGCGUGUAGCAGUGAAAUGCGUAGAUAUGCGGAGGAACACCGAUGGCGAAGGCAAUCCCCUGGACCUGUACUGACGCUCAUGCACGAAAGCGUGGGGAGCAAACAGG